rnacentral:rRNA from 1 species
GGUGAAAAGCACCCCGGAAGGGGAGUGAAAUAGAACCUGAAACCGUGUGCUUACAAGUAGUCAGAGCCCGUUAAUGGGUGAUGGCGUGCCUUUUGUAGAAUGAACCGGCGAGUUACGAUUUGAUGCAAGGUUAAGCAGUAAAUGUGGAGCCGUAGCGAAAGCGAGUCUGAAUAGGGCGUUUAGUAUUUGGUCGUAGACCCGAAACCAGGUGAUCUACCCUUGGUCAGGUUGAAGUUCAGGUAACACUGAAUGGAGGACCGAACCGACUUACGUUGAAAAGUGAGCGGAUGAACUGAGGGUAGCGGAGAAAUUCCAAUCGAACCUGGAGAUAGCUGGUUCUCUCCGAAAUAGCUUUAGGGCUAGCCUCAAGUGAUGAUUAUUGGAGGUAGAGCACUGUUUGGACGAGGGGCCCCUCUCGGGUUACCGAAUUCAGACAAACUCCGAAUGCCAAUUAAUUUAACUUGGGAGUCAGAACAUGGGUGAUAAGGUCCGUGUUCGAAAGGGAAACAGCCCAGACCACCAGCUAAGGUCCCAAAAUAUAUGUUAAGUGGAAAAGGAUGUGGCGUUGCCCAGACAACUAGGAUGUUGGCUUAGAAGCAGCCAUCAUUUAAAGAGUGCGUAAUAGCUCACUAGUCGAGUGACACUGCGCCGAAAAUGUACCGGGGCUAAACAUAUUACCGAAGCUGUGGAUUGUCCUUUGGACAAUGGUAGGAGAGCGUUCUAAGGGCGUUGAAGCAUGAUCGUAAGGACAUGUGGAGCGCUUAGAAGUGAGAAUGCCGGUGUGAGUAGCGAAAGACGGGUGAGAAUCCCGUCCACCGAUUGACUAAGGUUUCCAGAGGAAGGCUCGUCCGCUCUGGGUUAGUCGGGUCCUAAGCUGAGGCCGACAGGCGUAGGCGAUGGAUAACAGGUUGAUAUUCCUGUACCACCUAUAAUCGUUUUAAUCGAUGGGGGGACGCAGUAGGAUAGGCGAAGCGUGCGAUUGGAUUGCACGUCUAAGCAGUAAGGCUGAGUAUUAGGCAAAUCCGGUACUCAUUAAGGCUGAGCUGUGAUGGGGAGAAGACAUUGUGUCUUCGAGUCGUUGAUUUCACACUGCCGAGAAAAGCCUCUAGAUAGAAAAUAGGUGCCCGUACCGCAAACCGACACAGGUAGUCAAGAUGAGAAUUCUAAGGUGAGCGAGCGAACUCUCGUUAAGGAACUCGGCAAAAUGACCCCGUAACUUCGGGAGAAGGGGUGCUCUUUAGGGUUAACGCCCAGAAGAGCCGCAGUGAAUAGGCCCAAGCGACUGUUUAUCAAAAACACAGGUCUCUGCUAAACCGUAAGGUGAUGUAUAGGGGCUGACGCCUGCCCGGUGCUGGAAGGUUAAGAGGAGUGGUUAGCUUCUGCGAAGCUACGAAUCGAAGCCCCAGUAAACGGCGGCCGUAACUAUAACGGUCCUAAGGUAGCGAAAUUCCUUGUCGGGUAAGUUCCGACCCGCACGAAAGGCGUAACGAUUUGGGCACUGUCUCAACGAGAGACUCGGUGAAAUCAUAGUACCUGUGAAGAUGCAGGUUACCCGCGACAGGACGGAAAGACCCCGUGGAGCUUUACUGUAGCCUGAUAUUGAAAUUCGGCACAGCUUGUACAGGAUAGGUAGGAGCCUUUGAAACGUGAGCGCUAGCUUACGUGGAGGCGCUGGUGGGAUACUACCCUAGCUGUGUUGGCUUUCUAACCCGCACCACUUAUCGUGGUGGGAGACAGUGUCAGGCGGGCAGUUUGACUGGGGCGGUCGCCUCCUAAAAGGUAACGGAGGCGCUCAAAGGUUCCCUCAGAAUGGUUGGAAAUCAUUCAUAGAGUGUAAAGGCAUAAGGGAGCUUG